AACAUCAUAAUAAAUUAACAGAAAGAUCUAUGGAUUCCAGCACGUCAUGUUCGGCCCAAAAAACUGAGAUAUUCAGACAACAUUACAGCAUUAUUUUCAAUAUUGUCAUCAUCAGGAGGUUAUAAGUUGAGUUGUUGUCAUAUGAGAUAACACUUCUGAUCAAAUACCACUCAGCUGGUGUAUAAGAAUGAGGAUGUCCCACACAACUAUUGAAUCCAAGUCAUCAGGCUUGCACAUCUUGGCACCUGUCGGGAAAAGACACACAUCUGAAUUCACUAACUCAGGUCAUGGGAAAUGCGCUCCAGAAUACAUUAGAUAGCUUACUACCAAGACAGACAUGUGCAGUUCCAUGGUUUUUCAACUUGAGUUGAUCAUGGGAAGAAGAACUGUCGAUUUCACUAGACUAGCAAGUGAUCAAAUCUUAAUUAACUGGCUAUGGACCUUCUGGUUACAAAUGUGCUUGAUUGCCAUAAAUGCUCAGAAUAUAUUUCCCUGCGUAAAAUCAAUAGUUGGAGGUUAUCUGAAAAAUAUGCUCGCGGCAAGAUUUCUUUCUGACAGUUAAAAGCUAUGUUUGAUCAACAGGCAACGCCAACGAUCAGGGAAAAGGCGGGGUACCUAGUACGACCCUCUUCCUAGAGGUCAGGCUACUGGAGAUUUCAUCCAGGCUGUGGUCAUGGCAGCAAUGUGCCUACUGGAGGAAGCCUCUGCUCGACCAUUGGCGUUGAAAGGGAUAGUUGGAGGUUAUCUGAAAAAUAUGCUUGCGGCAAGAUUGCUAUCUGACAGUUAAGCUAUGUUUGAUCAACAGGCAAAGCCAAUGAUCAGGGAAAAGACCUCUAGUGGAACCAACACGAUGCAAAAAGCUGCAAUGGUAUAACCCCUGACUUUUGCCACAUUAGGGCUGAAUUGUCAUACAAAAACUAGAAACUUCAAAUGGCACUCUUGUCCCAUAAAGGUGACAUGGCUCAAUUUCAAGGCCUUAUAGCCCGUCCUCGAUCCAAAAGGUUACAGAACUCACUAUGGCAUAUGCUUAUAUAUGUCAUGUAAAGGUCGUAGAACCCACUAGCACCCCAAGCCUAUUCCUAAGAGGAAGGUGGGAUACAAACCUUGCACGCGGAAAUGGCGUGGAGAUUAGGGGCAAAGUCCACGCAUCAGACCAGAACACCAUGGUGACACCAUCACCCAGCUUGAUUUUGGUGAGCGCAUAGAAGAGGACACAUGUUGACAUCAUUGAGAGGG
rnacentral:lncRNA from 1 species